UUAAUAAGCAAAUAAUACUAUUUAGCUCAGAGCUAUUCAAAACUGUGUUCUUAUUAAGACGAGACGUUUGCAUAUCUGUAUGAGUAAGUGAGUAUAUGUCAGUAUAUAUGUGCAUGUAUGAAUGAAUAGAUAAGAACAUAAUAGCUCUCAUAUAAAAUGAGUUCAGCAGCUGUUGCCAUUAAGACACAUUUUUAAAAAUGGAAUGAUAUUUUAUGUAAUUUGACAUUAAUUGAGAAAAAUGUAUGCUAAUUAGUAAUGUAUUGCUAGAAAUUGCCCACACUGUUUUCUCAAUAAGUGACUCACAAUAAAGUAAUAAAUAAGUUGAACA